rnacentral:rRNA from 1 species
UACAGAGGGGGCAAGCGUUGUUCGGAAUUACUGGGCGUAAAGGGCGCGUAGGCGGCCUUCUAAGUCGAACGUGAAAUCCCCGGGCUCAACCCGGGAACUGCGUCCGAUACUGGAAGGCUUGAAUCCGGGAGAGGGAUGCGGAAUUCCAGGUGUAGCGGUGAAAUUCGUAGAUAUCGGGAGGAACACCAGUGGCGAAGGCGGCUCUCUGGACAGGUACUGACGCUGAGACGCGAAAGCGUGGGUAGCAAACAGG